rnacentral:rRNA from 1 species
UGAGGGAAUAUUGGGUCAAUGGCGAGAGCCUGAACCAGCCAAGUCGCGUGAGGGAAGACGGUCCUACGGAUUGUAAACCUCUUUUGCCGGGGAGCAAAGGGGCCAUUGAUGGCAGGAUGAGCGUACCCGGAGAAAAAGCAUCGGCUAACUCCGUGCCAGCAGCCGCGGUAAUACGGAGGAUGCGAGCGUUAUCCGGAUUUAUUGGGUUUAAAGGGUGCGCAGGCGGACUCGUCAAGUCAGCGGUAAAAAUUCGGGGCUCAACCCGGUGUCGCCGUUGAAACUGGCGUGCUCGAGUGCGUGCGAGGAAGGCGGAAUGCGUUGUGUAGCGGUGAAAUGCAUAGAUAUGACGCAGAACUCCGAUUGCGAAGGCAGCUUUCCAGCGCGCUACUGACGCUGAGGCACG